rnacentral:rRNA from 1 species
CACGUAGGAGGCGAGCGUUGUCCGGAAUCAUUGGGCGUAAAGAGCGCGCAGGCGGCUUGGCAAGUCGGGUGUGAAAUCCCGGGGCUCAACCCCGUGACUGCAUUCGAUACUGUCAGGCUAGAGGUAGGUAGGGGAGAUCGGAAUUCCUGGUGUAGCGGUGGAAUGCGCAGAUAUCAGGAGGAACACCGGUGGCGAAGGCGGGGUCUCUGGGCCGAUACUGACGCUGAGGAGCGAAAGCGUGGGGAGCAAACAGG